GCGUUUCGUGGCCGAGUGGUACAAGGCGCUGCUCUGGCGAUACCGACGUCUCGGUGCGGUGGUUCGAAUCCACUUCAAGCGCA
rnacentral:tRNA from 1 species